AACUGAGAUCCUGGAAGCUGUGCACGUGGUGUGGCCAAAAAAAAAGGUAUCUCUGGUACUGUGAGGUAACUGCUUCUAAAGUGCACAGUAAAACAACCCACCCCCACCCAGGCUGGCACCAGCCUGCAACCACACAUGAACAAAUUCUGCUGCUAAUCAGAUUUUUCCUUUUGACCUAGUUCCUGAGGUCUUUAAACCUGUGCAAUGAAAUUAUUUAUUGUUUUAUAACAGAAUAGUGGUGUCCCACAGAGGAACCAUAAAUGAAAUACGGUGCUGUGAUGAGGAAAUAAUAACUAGCAUUUUAAGAUUCGGUUUUCUUUUCAGAAAGUCUAAUAUACCUAUAGUAAAGGUUAAAGCAAUUUGUGUUUAUUUUGCAUUCUAGUGUUAUUAAUUUUAAAACAGCGAUUCUAACAAAAAUGCAUCAAUUGACUAUUUCUAAUUCUUAUCUUUAUCAAAAAACUGUAUAAAUUUACAACCAGCAUUUUUUUUUAAUUAUAUAAAUCUUCUCCUUAGAAAGGACUGCUAACAAGUGAAAAUGAAUGAGACAGCACCUUAGCAAUUUUUUAGUAAUAAAAAGUUCUUUUCAAUCAAA